GACGAACGCUGGCGGCGUGCUUAACACAUGCAAGUCGAACGGAAAGGCCCUGCUUUUGUGGGGUGCUCGAGUGGCGAACGGGUGAGUAACACGUGAGUAACCUGCCCUUGACUUUGGGAUAACUUCAGGAAACUGGGGCUAAUACCGGAUAGGAGCUCCUGCUGCAUGGUGGGGGUUGGAAAGUUUCGGCGGUUGGGGAUGGACUCGCGGCUUAUCAGCUUGGUGGUGGGGUAGUGGCUUACCAAGGCUUUGACGGGUAGCCGGCCUGAGAGGGUGACCGGCAAGAUGGGGGCGGAGAGAGGCCCGGGACUCAUAGGGGAGGAAGGAGGGGGAAAGAUUGAACAGGGGGCGGAGGCGGGAGGCAGAGAGGCCGGGUGGGGGAGGAGGGCUUUCGGUUGGGAAACCGUUUUCGCCUGGGACGAAGGGGGAGGAAGGGUAAGGGAAAAAGAAGCACCGGCUAACUAGGUG
rnacentral:rRNA from 1 species